UUAAUUGAAACCAAAAUAGCGGUUUAUCACUGUUAAUGAUAAAAUUGAGUACUCUCCAAUUAAA
rnacentral:tRNA from 1 species